rnacentral:rRNA from 1 species
UACGGGGGGAGCAAGCGUUGUUCGGAUUUACUGGGCGUAAAGGGCGCGUAGGCGGUCGUGACAAGUCACUUGUGAAAUCUCCGGGCUUAACUCGGAACGGUCAAGUGAUACUGUCGGACUAGAGUGCGGAAGGGGCUACUGGAAUUCUCGGUGUAGCGGUGAAAUGCGUAGAUAUCGAGAGGAACACCUGCGGCGAAGGCGGGUUGCUGGGCUGAUACUGACGCUGAGGCGACGAAAGCCAGGGGAGCGAACGGG